CGGAACUGGUGGCAGAGACGGGCUUCACACCCCAGGAGGUGCAGG
rnacentral:tRNA from 1 species